UACAGAGGGUGCGAGCGUUAAUCGGAAUUACUGGGCGUAAAGCGUGCGCAGGCGGUUUUUUAAGUCAGAUGUGAAAUCCCCGGGCUCAACCUGGGAACUGCAUUUGUGACUGUAGAGCUGGAGUGCGGCAGAGGGGGAUGGAAUUCCGCGUGUAGCAGUGAAAUGCGUAGAUAUGCGGAGGAACACCGAUGGCGAAGGCAAUCCCCUGGGCCUGCACUGACGCUCAUGCACGAAAGCGUGGGGAGCAAACAGG
rnacentral:rRNA from 1 species